ACGCGCCGCCUGUCCCGGAGCGCCUCGGCCUGCUGAUGAUGGGUAUGGCCUCCGUUUGUCCAACCGAGCUCUGGUUUGUGAGUAAUUGCAAAAUUUCAGAUUCGGAUUCUAAGUUGAUGAUGCGAAAAUCAGCCGAUUUUGAGCCGUUUUUUGCCACCCAAGCUCUGAUACCAGAUGUUAGGACCUUCCUCUUGCUGCUCACGCUGAUUCCCGGGCUCAGUUAACCAUUAAAACCGAGUUCAACAUCAAAACUGGAAGAACCCAUACCGCC
rnacentral:lncRNA from 1 species